GACGAACGCUGGCGGCGUGCCUAAUACAUGCAAGUCGAACGAGAGCGACCGGUGCUUGCACUGGUCAAUCUAGUGGCGAACGGGUGAGUAACACGUGGGUAACCUGCCCAUCAGAGGGGGAUAACAUCCGGAAACGGAUGCUAAAACCGCAUAGGUCUUCGAACCGCAUGGUUUGAAGAGGAAAAGAGGCGCAAGCUUCUGCUGAUGGAUGGACCCGCGGUGCAUUAGCUAGUUGGUGAGGUAACGGCUCACCAAGGCCGUGAUGCAUAGCCGACCUGAGAGGGUGAUCGGCCACAUUGGGACUGAGACACGGCCCAAACUCCUACGGGAGGCAGCAGUAGGGAAUCUUCCGCAAUGGACGCAAGUCUGACGGAGCAACGCCGCGUGAGUGAAGAAAGUUUUCGGAUCGUAAAACUCUGUUGUUAGAGAAGAACAAGUGCUAGAGUAACUGUUAGCGCCUUGACGGUAUCUAACCAGAAAGCCACGGCUAACUACGUG
rnacentral:rRNA from 1 species